rnacentral:rRNA from 1 species
GAUGAACGCUGGCGGCGUGCUUAACACAUGCAAGUCGAACGGAUUGCUUGGUGCUUGCACUGAGUGGUUAGUGGCGAACGGGUGAGUAACACGUGAGUAACCUGCCCCCUUCUUUGGGAUAAGCACCUGAAAGGGUGUCUAAUACUGAUUAUUCUGCUGGAAUCGCAUGGUUUUGGUUGGAAAGGUUUUUCUGGUGGGGGAUGGGCUCGCGGCGUAUCAGCUUGUUGGUGGGGUAAUGGCUUACCAAGGCUUUGACGGGUAACCGGCCUGAGAGCGUGAGCGGUAACAUUGGGACUGGGAUACGGCCCAGACUCCAACGGGGGGCAGCAGUGGGGAAUAUUGCACAAUGGACGAAAGUCUGAUGCAGCGACGCCGCGUGAGGGAUGAAGGCCCUCGGGUUGUAAACCUUUUUCGCUUUUGACCAAGGCAGCAUUUUGGUGUUGUUGAGGGUAUGAGGUAAAGAAGCUCCGGCUAACUACGUGCCAGCAGCCGCGGUAAAAC